rnacentral:misc_RNA from 1 species
GAUGAAGAACGCAGCGAAAUGCGAUAAGUAAUGUGAAUUGCAGAAUUCAGUGAAACAUCGAAUCUUUGAACGCACAUUGCGCCCGCUAGUAUUCUGGCGGGCAUGCCUGUCCGAGCGUCAUUUCAACCCUCAAGCCCCCGGGCUUGGUGUUGGGGAUCGGCGAGCCUCCGCGCCCGCCGUCCCCUAAAUCUAGUGGCGGUCUCGCUGUAGCUUCCUCUGCGUAGUAGCACACCUCGCACUGGGAAACAGCGCGGCCACGCCGUUAAACCCCCAACUUCUGAACGUUUGACCUCGGAUCAGGUAGGAAUACCCGCUGAACUUAAGCAUAUCAAUAAGCGGAGGA